AGACCGAUAGCGAACAAG
rnacentral:snRNA from 1 species